AUUGAACGCUGGCGGCAUGCUUUACACAUGCAAGUCGAACGGUAACAGGUUAAGCUGACGAGUGGCGAACGGGUGAGUAAUGCAUCGGAGCGUGCCCGAUCGUGGGGGAUAACGCAGCGAAAGCUGCGCUAAUACCGCAUACGAUCUGAGGAUGAAAGCGGGGGACCGUAAGGCCUCGCGCGAUCGGAGCGGCCGAUGUCAGAUUAGGUAGUUGGUGGGGUAAAGGCUCACCAAGCCGACGAUCUGUAGCUGGUCUGAGAGGACGACCAGCCACACUGGGACUGAGACACGGCCCAGACUCCUACGGGAGGCAGCAGUGGGGAAUUUUGGACAAUGGGCGAAAGCCUGAUCCAGCAAUGCCGCGUGCAGGAAGAAGGCCUUCGGGUUGUAAACUGCUUUUGUACGGAGCGAAAAGGCUCUCUCUAAUACAGGGGGCUCAUGACGGUACCGUAAGAAUAAGCACCGGCUAACUACGUGCCAGCCGCCGCUGUAA
rnacentral:rRNA from 1 species